GAUCUUUAGCAUUUCCUGGAUUUUACAAUGGGCUGGAUCUUGUGCAUGGGACCACUUGCAUCGGGAACCAGUACUGCUUAUCUUGAGAAAGGGCUGCUUUUUGUGGGUUAAUGGGCCUACAACAAUUGGAGCCAUAUUCUUGUUCACAAAGAAAGGGCAGCAACAACUUUUGAAGCUUUUAUUUAUUUUUUUAUUUUUUACUCAAAAAUAACUGCACCUUGUGGGCAAGGUGUUCCUUAAAGGAGUUGGUAUUGUAACGGAUAUAUUAGUUAAUGGGCCGUCUUAGUAGUUUAAUAGACCUUGAGCCUUUUUAGUUAGUGGCCUAUUAGUUCAAUAACCUUUAGGUGAGUAUAUAUAAACAAAACUAAUUAAAUGUUUUAGGCAUUAAAAUUAGUAUCCAGUCUUUGGCUGAAUGGAGGGAGAGUACCUCGAAUCACUCACGGAGGUUUUACGCAUCCUCGAAUUUGCCUAAUUUCAGUAUAAUUUCAUUUUCCAAUUUUAUUGUUGUUCAUUGUUCUUACAUUUCUUCCAUUCCAUUUCCAUUUUCCUUAUUCAAUUUCCAUUUCAGUAAUCUGCGUGUAACAAUUUCUCUCUUGCUUAGGGUUUGUGCACAUCAAGACCCUUGGAUCUAAGCUUCUAAUUCUCCUAAACGUUCCCAAUACUCAGCUUCCAACGAAAAGGUUAAGAAAUAAGGUAGUCCAAGGCUUCAAAACAUACCUGAUGAUCAAAAGCCUUUCUAUGGUAGUAAUAGAAAGAGGUUAUCAGAUGGCCUCGAAGAGAAAGUUCGCGAUAAAAGGACUAUAAAAGUGGUGGUCGGGGAAGACAUUCGUUGUAGAAGCGAUCUGGUGACGGGUCAUAACAGUUUUCGUGCUCAAGUUGAUAAUUCAGAUAAAAGUGUGGCCAGAGUGAAAAGGACAUUGAGGGUUUUCAACAGGUUUUACCUUCGCUUUGUUCAGGAAGUGGAGAAGAGAUGCAAGAAGCCUAAGGAUAAGGAUAUGCAAGUUUCUAAUGGUUCAGAAAAUAAUAAUGGAAAUGCAUCAGAUGAUUAUUCAAGGAGAUGUUCCAAGCGACUUAAUCUGAAGGCAAUUUCUGAGGCAAGUUGCUGGCUUAUGUGUUAACAUAUGUGAAUUUCAGAUAUGGAGGAGGAUUUCAGUCCUGUGGACGUGGAUGUGAACCUUGUGAAGAGCUUUCUUGAUUCCUUUUCUUCCCAACAAGGACUUCCCGGUCCUGCUUCCAAUUUGCUUGGGCUAAUGGAUGUUCAGCUCCCACGCGAUGACAUGAAGGGCGAAUGAUUCUCUCUAUGGGCCUUGUACAGUUUUGUAUUUUGCUUCCGGUUUAGUUGAGUGGUUUCAGGUGUAAUUCUUUUGAAGAGAAAUAUGGUUUGUUGGUUUUGGAGCAUCAUGUGUAUUUCUUAGAAUUUUAAUUCCUAAAAGUA